GUCGUUGUAGUAUAGUGGCAGUAUUCCCGCCCCUGGUCACGCGGGUGACUCCGGGUUUGAUCCCCUCUCGGCAACGGCG